CCUACGGGGGGCAGCAGUGAGGAAUAUUGGUCAAUGGGCGCAAGCCUGAACCAGCCAAGUCGCGUGAGGGAAGACGGCCCUACGGGUUGUAAACCUCUUUUGCCGGGGAGCAAGCCUGAGCACGUGUGCCCAGGCGGAGAGUACCCGGAGAAAAAGCAUCGGCUAACUACGUGCCAGCAGCCGCGGUAAUACGUAGGUGGCAAGCGUUGUCCGGAUUUAUUGGGCGUAAAGCGAGUGCAGGCGG
rnacentral:rRNA from 1 species